rnacentral:rRNA from 1 species
ACUGGCGACCAUACCAUGUUGAAAGCACCGGUUCUCAUCCGAUCAUCGAAGUUAAGCAACGUUGGGUCUGGUUAGUACUUGCAUGGUGACCGGCUGGGAAUACCGGGUGUUGCCGGCU